rnacentral:rRNA from 1 species
UACGUAGGUGGCAAGCGUUGUCCGGAACUAUUGGGCGUAAAGCGCGCGCAGGUGGUUUCUUAAGUCUGAUGUGAAAGCCCACGGCUCAACCGUGGAGGGUCAUUGGAAACUGGGGAACUUGAGUGCAGAAGAGGAAAGUGGAAUUCCAAGUGUAGCGGUGAAAUGCGUAGAGAUUUGGAGGAACACCAGUGGCGAAGGCGACUUUCUGGUCUGUAACUGACACUGAGGCGCGAAAGCGUGGGGAGCGAACAGG